ACCUAGCAAUAGGUAUGCUUAGGGAAGAGCUUGCGUCACAUUAGUUAGUUGGUGGGGUAAUGGCCUACCAAGACGAUGAUGUGUAGCCGGGCUGAGAGGUCGAACGGCCACAUUGGGACUGAGACACGGCCCAAACUCCUACGGGAGGCAGCAGUAAGGAAUUUUCGGCAAUGGAGGAAACUCUGACCGAGCAAUGCCGCGUGAACGAUGAAGUAUUUCGGUACGUAAAGUUCUUUUAUUAGGGAAGAAAAGAUGGUGGAAAAACCAUUAUGACGGUACCUAAUGAAUAAGCCCCGGCUAACUAUGUGCCAGCAGCCGCGGUAAUACAUAGGGGGCAAGCGUUAUCCGGAAUUAUUGGGCGUAAAGGGUGCGUAGGCGGUUAAAUAAGUUUAUGGUCUAAGUGCAACGCUCAACGUUGUGAUGCUAUAAAAACUGUUUAGCUAGAGUUGGAUAGAGGCAAGUGGAAUUCCGUGUGUAGUGGUAAAAUGCGUAAAUAUACGGAGGAACACCAGAAGCGAAGGCGGCUUGCUGGGUCUUAACUGACGCUGAGGCACGAAAGCGUGGGGAGCAAACAGGAUUAGAUACCCUGGUAGUCCACGCCCUAAACGAUGAGUACUAAACGUUGGAUAAAACCAGUGUUGAAGUUAACACAUUAAGUACUCCGCCUGAGUAGUACGUACGCAAGUAUGAAACUUAAAGGAAUUGACGGGACUCCGCACAAGCGGUGGAUCAUGUUGUUUAAUUCGAAGGUACCCGAAAAACCUCACCAGGUCUUGACAUGCUUUUGCAAAGCUGUAGAAAUACAGUGGAGGUUAUCAGAAGCACAGGUGGUGCAUGGUUGUCGUCAGCUCGUGUCGUGAGAUGUUGGGUUAAGUCCCGCAACGAGCGCAACCCUUGUUGUUAAUUGCCAUCAUUAAGUUGGGGACUUUAGCAAGACUGCCAAUGAUAAAUUGGAGGAAGGUGGGGACGACGUCAAAUCAUCAUGCCCCUUAUGACCUGGGCUACAAACGUGAUACAAUGGCUGUUACAAAGGGUAGCUAAAGCGUAAGCUUCUGGCGAAUCUCAAAAAAGCAGUCUCAGUUCGGAUUGAAGUCUGCAACUCGACUUCAUGAAGUUGGAAUCGCU
rnacentral:rRNA from 1 species